CACAAAAUUCACCAGAUGUUCUUCCAAUGCGUCCUCUGAGUUUCCCCGCCCGUCACCACAUCCCACCUUUUAAGAAGCCACCCAUGACUCUACUGUGGUGUCCGUUGAAGACCUUCCACUCAAGUACUCAAUGCGGAAACAAUUCCCGUUGCCGCUACCUGCGUCACCAUGUGCGAUUGUUUCUCUCUUCCUCCCAUCUCGAAUCUGUUGGCUGCUUCUUCCCUCACUAUUGUGGAGGUCGUGCAGUCUGCUUUGGUGCUUUUUAUCCUCAGAAAACUGCCACCUAAACGUGUAUUCAAUGAUUGUCACCCAAUCAAAUAAUCACAACUAUUGCAGAGCAUGUUGUCAGAUUGCUGAAUAGAUCAGUGUCCAUAAAACCAGUGUGCUACAAAAAACAGUUUCUUGAAGGGGACAUGUUUGGAUCAUACUCUUUUAUACAUUUAGCCCAAGGGAAAGUCGUGUUUUACGGAUAUAGGAUAACAAGUCAAGCCAUUUUAAAACACGUUGAAGGGUUGACUAUAGUUCAGUCUCCACAGAUUUUUAUAGGUCAACAUAGCAGCAGCCUCUAGAGCUUCAGCACAACAUUAAUAUAAGUUGUUAAGAAGGCAGCACUUGAAGAGCUACAAGAGAAACGGGAAGAAGAGGUCCGAUAGAUGUUAUGAAGAAGCUCCCAAAGUAGAAUUAUGAUGGGCUUGUGGGUUUGAGUCAUAUGGUUCUAACCAGGCUGGGUUUAGGUGAAACGGACUGUUUUAGAAAGUGGUCAACUGGUUUGGGUUAGAACGAGUUCGGGUUUGAGUGGGUUCCGGCCAAACUGAAUUAAGGGUCAAAUCUAAGUGUUUUAAAAAGUGGUCAUUUUGGUUUGGGCAGAACGAGUUCAGAGCGUUGGGCAGGGUAACGGGUCGUAGGAGGUUCGGGUCUCAAUGGGUUCCAACCAAAAUUGAGUACGGGUCAAAAGAGGCUGUUUUAAAUUGGGGUCGUUUGGUAUCUCUGUUAUUGUUGUUUCAUUUAAUAACACCUGAUUCAUGAAAGGUGUAUAGUAUAUGAUUAUCCUCUUGAAUUC